rnacentral:rRNA from 1 species
AUUGAACGCUGGCGGCAGGCCUAACACAUGCAAGUCGAACGGUAACAGGAAGCAGCUUGCUGCUUUGCUGCCGAGUGGCGGACGGGUGAGUAAUGUCUGGGAAACUGCCUGAUGGAGGGGGAUAACUACUGGAAACGGUAGCUAAUACCGCAUAACGUCGCAAGACCAAAGAGGGGGACCUUAGGGCCUCUUGCCAUCGGAUGUGCCCAGAUGGGAUUCGCUAGUAGGUGGGGUAACGGCUCACCUAGGCGACGAUCCCUAGCUGGUCUGAGAGGAUGACAAGCCACACUGGAAGUGAGACACGGUCCAGACUCCUACGGGAGGCAGCAGUGGGGAAUAUUGCACAAUGGGCGCAAGCCUGAUGCAGCCAUGCCGCGUGUAUGAAGAAGGCCUUCGGGUUGUAAAGUACUUUCAGCGGGGAGGAAGGGAGUAAAGUUAAUACCUUUGCUCAUUGACGUUACCCGCAGAAGAAGCACCGGCUAACUCCGUG